rnacentral:lncRNA from 1 species
AUGCCACAGCUGGAAUCCCCCACAUUCCUCCCUGCCGGGGCUGCCCACCUGGCUGCAGCUGGCAGCAGGUGUGUUCUUACAAUGCAGUUACACAAACACACACAAGGCCUCACAAAGUCUUAUACAUCUUUUGGGUCACGGUCACAGGUGCUCUCAAAAUCAGCCAUAGAAAUGGCACACACAAAGUCACAAAAAGAUACGCAGACCACACACACCCAGAGACACUCAGACACACAAGAUCAUCCACGAUCACACCCAGUUAUGUCACACCGAUACCCAAAGACACACACAGGCAUUCCCAAUGCACUAGUGGGACACUUAGGCCAGUCCGCAGCUGCACACAAAGUUCCCACAGACACACACUCACAAGUGCCCUGGCAGCUCAGCCUUGCCAGGGCCGAGGACAGGCAGGCGGCGGGGCUUCCUGUGGCUACUGCUCAUCUGGAGGCAAGAGAAGGAGCUGGGGAAACAUUUCAUUUGCAGCCGGCUGGAGACCCACCCCACCCUCCCUGGAAACCUGGCCCCGGCUCCUGAAUGGGGCCUCUGUAUGCCGCCACCGCCCAGCUGACCAGGGUGUGGGGAUCAGGGGGGUGAGGCCGGCCACACGGAGUCCCUGGCUGAGCUUCAGAAGCCACCCAGCCACAUGCCAGGGCCCUAGCUAGAGUCCCCCAGACCCAAGGAGUCCUCUUCCCCCCUCCCCCCACCACAUCUGGAGGCCACUCCCCAAACCCAGGCUGCACAGGAAGGCAGAGGGGCAAGACAGGGCCCCAGCUGGUGCUGGAUCUCCAGGUGUCCCAUCUCAGGCCUAAGGAUGUCCUCAGACUGGGCAGCCACCAGUCCCCAUGCCAUAAGGCCUCUCAGUCCAGCACAAAGACAUGACACCAUGGCUAUAUGUGACAGCAUAGCUGAGGAUGUAACAGUGUAGCUGUCUGUGACAGUGUAGCUGGGCUCCCAGUGCAGCCUAGGGGUGGGGAUGGGGCAGUCAUAGCCCCUUGGCUCUUGUCAUCACACACUCACUAUCACACACAUAGUGUCACCAUCACACCUUCCAUCACACAGCCACACACAGCCACACUAUCUCAUCUUCAGCCAUACUGUAACACACAACCACACUGUCACACAUGCUGUCACACACAGCCAGGCUGUCACAUCUUCAGCCAGACACAGAGCCACACUGUCAUACCUUCAACCAGCAACACUGUCUGUCACACCCUCAGCCAUGCCGUCACACACAGAAAUACUGUCACAGCCUCCAUGAUUCUGGUCACAUGUACCUUCAACCACGCUGUCUCACACAUCCUCACACUGGGUGCCCCUGCAGCUCUGCUAGCCACAUGGCCACAUGGAGUCACUACCUGACUGGUCACAAGGAGGGGAAGCAGAUCUGAUCACUUCAUCCCCAGGGUGUAGCAUGCACCUGCCCUGCAAGCAAUGUUUAAACCAACCAGUUGCAACAAUACUGCAACAACACACCCUGAUUGUCACAGAGCAGGUAGCCAGCAGGUACAGGCCACUGCCGAAUUGCUCACAGACA